rnacentral:lncRNA from 1 species
UGUAUAGUUCGCAACCAUUUUAUUUGUUUAUUUUUCAGGAUGCGAGCAAGGUGUGCAAGGAAUACAUUUCCCGCGAUCCUGAGAACCUGAACUUCGGAGUGACUGCCUUGGUACUCGAGGACAACUAGGACACCCGUAGCCUGCUGCCUGCUGCUCUGCAUGUGCAAGCUACAGACAUCUUCAACACGCUGGCUGUUAAUCUGGAUAUACGCGUGUGUUUGUUUGUUUGCUUUUUGUGAGGAAUUUAGGCAUAGCCAGUAGCCAGCACCACUUUGGGCAUUCUGUCCCAAGGAUUGGGUUUCGCAAAACGGAAGAUGAAACGUCUUCCACGAAUAGUAUGAGACAGUCGGCAGACAUAGCGGCCUCACAUCGAAAAAUGUAGUCUUCGAAGUGCACAGAGGUCGUCUGUUUAUGUUUUCUUUUUCACUUUUAUACGCCUGCAAGCUUUGACGCUUACGUCAGUCACGGUGCCUCAUUUCGGGAUGUGUGUGUGUGCUCGGUAUUGGGGGUCGUUUCUGCCACCGCUUGAACACACGGAGCGCGAAAAAAUCGUCCUGCUUCUGUUCUGGACAACCAACGCGCAAACAUAUCUUGGUGGAUGUGUUAGUAGUCUUCGAAAGUAAAACAAUAGGACGAUCAUUUA